rnacentral:rRNA from 1 species
AACGCGAAGAACCUUACCUGGGCUUGACAUGUUCCUGACCGCCGUGGAAACACGGCUUCCCUUCGGGGCAGGAUCACAGGUGGUGCAUGGCUGUCGUCAGCUCGUGUCGUGAGAUGUUGGGUUAAGUCCCGCAACGAGCGCAACCCCCGUCGCAUGUUGCCAGCAUUUAGUUGGGGACUCAUGCGAGACUGCCGGUGACAAACCGGAGGAAGGUGGGGAUGACGUCAAGUCAUCAUGCCCCUUAUGUCCAGGGCUACACACGUGCUACAUUGGCGCGUACAGAGGGCUGCGAUACCGCGAGGUGGAGCGAAUCCCUUAAAGCGCGUCUCGGUUCGGAUUGCAGGCUGAAACUCGCCUGCAUGAAGGCGGAGUUGCUAGUAAUCGCGGAUCAGCACUGCCGCGGUGAAUACGUUCCCGGGCCUUGUA